ensembl:lncRNA
UUUUUUUUUUUUUUUUUUUGGUCUUUUUGCCUUUUCUAGGACCACCCCCACAGCAUAAGGAGGUUCCCAGGCUAGGGGUCUAAUUGGAGCUGUAGCUGCUGGUCUACACCACAGCCACAGCAACGUGGGAUCCGAGCUGCAUCUGCAACCUACACCACAGCUCACGGCAAUGCCAGAUCCUUAACCCACUGAGCAAGGCCAGGGAUUGAACCUGCAACCUCAUGGUUCCUAGUCGGAUUCGUUAACCACUGCGCCACAACAGGGAACUCCGCUGUGCUUUUGUUAACAAGAAAUAUAAUGCCCUGCAAGCAGAUGGUCUCUGGAUCCAGAGUUCCUGAAGGGUUAGGGCACGGCGUUGAACUGUGGCAUAAUGGAGACACUUCAGUAUUCUACAGCAGUUUUACUUUUGAUUAUAUAAAUUACUGUAGCACUAAAGCUGGGAAGAUGAAAAAAAGAGUAUUUAAAACAGUUAUUAUUUAACCUACAUAAAGUGCUUUUUGGAGCAUUGAUUAUGUGUAAGAUCGAGUCCAUUAAACACGCUGGCUUACUCUCUUAACUUGGCUUGUCAGAGUACAAAAGGAGGGUAUGAAUUAUUGCAAGGAAACCUUCCCAAACCCUCAUUUUGAAAUAGAUGUGGUUUUAUUAUUUUACUCUAAUGUGAACUAAAGAAGUGAUCAGUAUUUUUAAAGCAAGACAUCCUUGAAUGUUGUUCCUCAGUAAAUAGAUAACAAUGGGAUAUAAUGAAACACUGUUUAUUUUAAAUAACCACUUUUAAGUUGUACAAAAACAGCAUGAACGGGUAAAUGGUUAAAAUGCCGCCUUUAUGUACCAGUAAUUAGUCCGUUAGUUCCCCCCAUUUUAUGGCCACACCCUCCGCCUAUGGAAGUUCCCAGGCCAGGGACUGAAUCUGAGUCACAGCUGUGACCUCUGCCACAGCUGGGGCAGGGCUGGAUCCUUUAACCUGCUGUGCUGGGCCAGGGAUUGAACCUGCAUCUCUGCAACAACCUGAGAUUCUUAACCCACUGUAUCACUGCGGGAAUGGCAGUCUUUUUUUUUUUUUUUUUUUUUAAGAUGAAACAAACGUGUGCUUCUCUUUGGGCCUUCACAAAUUCUGAUUUAUUGAAAUAUCAGUUAAUGGUGAAUCUAUCUAAAGCUCUUUUCAGCAUUUUUAUCUGGUGGGAAUGAAAUGAAAAUACUGAAAGGUCUAAAUUAGAAUGUGGGGAAAUGGUGACACCCAGCAAGAAUUUGGUAAAACAGAUUUGUUUAAGAAAUCCUUUUCUAGAAAGCCCUGUGGGGUUGGAGCUAGUAGGGUUCGGGCAGAGAAAGCUUUGGCAUUGUUUUAGCUUGGCCAGCUGAAUAAGCUGAUUGAUAAUCAUUAAAGCCAGGGGUGGGGGUGAAUAGUACAUUAGAUGCUGAUCCUGAUUCCCCUGAACAGAACGGAAUGUGAGUCACAGAGCCGGUGAGCAUGGGAUUGGGAAGGACCCCAGAGCCCUUCACACGGAUGUGUUCCUUCUUCAGACCCAGCCGUUGACUUGCCCAGGGUCACACAGUGAGAGAGGAGCCAAGCGGGGACUUCGGCCAGGGCUUCUGCCUCUGGGUCUGUUGCCUUCCCAUCCUCUCCAGUUACAGCGUGAAUCCAGGUUGAAUUCAGGCACUUCCCUUCUGACUGGCAAGGUCUGACAAUGCCAGGGGCACUUGUGACAUCUGGAAAACCCCACGGCAAAAGAGGAUCUCUUCAAAGCAGGCUGGUCAUUCAGUUGACGUUUAAUUGUCUCCUCCAUUUCUUUAUCUUCCAAAAGAUAGUUUUGAUCACUCCUCCCUCCCCUGUUUUGCCUCAUAAAUUAUUCUCUUACUUUCUGCAUGCCUAUUAACAUGCAGGAAUCAUUGGGCCUUAGGGAGCCUCAUUGUCUUAUGGGAAGAGUCGGGGCCCAGAGCAGUGACAGGUGUGGGAGAGCAGGAGGGAAUCAGCUGUUGACAAAUGCAGUGGGUCUUUCCUGGUCAUUUGGUUCUGGUGUGGCUGGCAUGCCCUGUGUUUCUGACCAUAACUAGAGGUAGAGAGCUAAUUGCCUUUGUUACUAGCUCAUGGCUGACAUCUGCUGAGCUAGGUGGGCUUUGUAUGUAAUAAUCUCCUUAGUUCUCCCUAAUCCCUACCAUAAAGUCAUGAGGAAGAGACUGCUGAAAUCCUCAUUUUACAGGUGAGGAAGAUAGGCUUGGCGUGGUCACGUUGCUUCCACAAGGCCUAGUAAUUGGCAGGGCCUGGAUUCUUACUGGGCUUUCUGACUUCAGAGCCCACACUUCUCCACCAGCCCAUGCAGAGAAGCGGGCUCACAGGCUGCUGCCGUGUAAACGCCGGGCGGAGCAGCGGCAGGGCCUCCAGGUAGGUCUCUGGGAGGCUUCGAGGUCCUGAUUUUUGGGUGAGGCUUGGAAGCCAGCUUUGGGGACUGGCACAGAUCCAUUCCUCCUGCCAAGAGGCUUUGCCAGGUGGGGUGGGCUUGUGGCUGGAGAGUCAGGGCAGCCCUGUGUGGAUCCCCUGAAGUGCCUUGUGAACCACCCAAUAAAAGUGGGAGUUGGAGGAGUUUAAAUUUGGGCAUUAAGACCAGCUGGCUCUUGUUUCUGCUCAGCUCAGGUAGGAGACCCCUGGCCAUCUCUUGAUGUAAAUGUCGCUCAGAAGAGGACAGAAAAUGAGCACUAAGGAGCAAAACAGAUGUCAGGGGCGUUCUGCCUAAUUGCUGUGCUCUCAGAAGGGAAGAUAGGCCAAUUCCUAAAAUCAAGAUAGUGGUAGACAUUGCUAGUGCCUGUGUGCUUCCCUCACAGUGUCUGAUGCCAUCUCACCGUGACCUUGUGAGAACUGUUCACAGGUGACAGAGCAAGCCACUGGUCCUGGGCCAUUAUGUGACUCCCCCAUGACCAAACAGUCAGGACGUGGCAGAGGUAACACAUGGAUGUCUUGGCUCCUUCCUGUCACACGACAUCCCUGAGCCUCACAGGGGCCUCCUUACAGGUAGUUUGGCUGGGAGACAGAGGCUCACAGAUGGGGUGUGACUUGCCAGAACUGGGGCUCCCUAGGACCUGGGACAGUUUGUUCUCCUUGGCCACAUGACCUCAAUUUCUCCACCUGUAAGAUGGGAGUGACAGUGAUUGUACUGCCCUACACGAUUGAGACGAGAAGGGAUUUUGUAAGGCAGCCCUCAUACAUAGUAAGUGCUGAACAGUUCACUUUUCUACACGUCAAGCUUGGCUUUUAGGGCUUGCUCUGACUUGACUCCCUCCCUUUUCCGUCUGUGUUAUCCUAGCAAGAGCAGAGACUCUGGGGGAAAUAGAUUUGGAUCUGGGCCCCAGGUUUGCUGCCCACUAGCUUUGGGACUGAACAAAUUGAGUUGGUUCCCUUGGCCUUAUUUUUCUCAUCUGUAAAAUGGGCAUAGUCCUGCUUGUUGCACCUUUAUCUGGGCUCUUUGAGGAGUCAAUGAAAUGACGUGUGAGCGAGCCCCAGUUCACCAAAGGCAUUAUUUAAUCAGUCAGGAAUGGUUGCAGGGAGAGACUGACCUCCCAGUGACCUGACCAGGGUCCGAAGUGUCUGAGCGUUGGGGGAACCUCCAUCCCCAGCCCUUUGCUCUGUGGUGCUGCAAAUCACCCUGGGCCAUGCCUGUUAAGCCCCUCUGUUCUCACGUGAGUGCAGCAUUUCUUGACCAUAGGGAGGUGAAAGGGGAGCAUGCCCCUUCCCUUCCCUUAGUGGGAGGCCUGCGGGGCUGGUGAGUGCUGCGGAGAAGAGGCUGCUGCUGCUCCCGCCCCCGUGCUGAGCUCAGCACUCUGGCUCACAGGCUGCAAGGAGCUCUGUGUUGGUGGUCAUCAGUGACUGAAAGCAGCAGACUGGCACAGUUGGGGGUUCUGGGUUGGUGUUCGUGGACAAUGAGAUCUUUCAGACAAAGUACCUCGGCCCCUGUCUCAAAGCUCCAACCCUUUGAUUUCAGGUGCCAACCUAAGGUUUUAUACUUAUUUUCUUCAAACAAUUCACUCAGCAGUGACUAGCACUCCUGUUUUGCACAUGAAGCAAGUGGAGCCCAGAGUUAACUGGACAGCUCUUGGCUGAGGUCAUAAACCCGAAAGAUGGUCAGCGGGCCCACUUGGUCACUCUGUCCACUGUCUCCGCAGCUUGUGCCUGUCCCGCCAUGCACACGAGGCACGUCGUGGGGCCAUGCUGAACUUGGAUUCCGGUGUCGUGCCUCUGUGUGCCUGUCCUGUCACUUCACUCCUGGUGACUCCCCUUUCCUCACUGGUCUCAAAGUCAGAAGGGAAAAGUCAGGUGGGAUAUGUGUGCCAGUGAUUUAUAAUCCCGAAAGCAGUGUGCCCACAGAGGCAUUAUCCUUACUAUUGUCUGGGAGAGUGGGGCUUCUCGGGAGAGGAAAGCUUCACCUUCCCUCUGAUCCCCUUGGAAAGUGAUGAAGGCUGAGCCCCAGUCCACUGCCGUCUCCCCACGAGGCCAGGACCACACCUAGAGGAAGGGCCAGCACCCACUGCUGGAGCCCCUGGGAUUGUGCUCAGGGUUUGGGGAGAGUCAGAGGAGGAGGUAGGAAGGACUGAAAGUGCCUGUUGGAUCCAGAGCUGGAGCUGCCCCCCCCCCCCUUCAUGAUUCCCAAAGGCCAGCUGCCAGGUGGUGUCCUGACUGUACCCAGAGCUCCUUGAGAUUUGUGGCACCUGGGGCUGUGUGGCCAUCGAGACUGGAGUCCUUGACAUGUGGCCUCAGCUCCCAGUGGCUUGAGUGCUGGAGUGGUGCCUUCACUUCGUGGACUUGCCCCUGGUGGAAGCAGCCCUUCGCCCGAGCCACACACUGGCUUGUUUUUGGUCUUAGGCUCUUUUCUUAGUUCCCACAAGAGUGUGACUUUGCUGUGGGCAGGGACUCAGCCUGUCCCUGUCUUCAUCCCCCAUGGCUCCUGGCACCAGGUGGUGGUGAAUGACGGGUCAUUUAGUGAAGCAUCACUGCAUCUCCACCGGGGGCCCUGCAGUUGCCAUAUUGCCUUGACUGCUUUCUUAAUAGGGCCUGAUGGUCUCUCUUUCCAACCUGGGGGCAGAACGCUGUCGGGAGGGAUGAGGGGAGGGCAGAUGGGGACAGAGGGCCAGACAGAGAGGGGGAGACAGAGACAGGGGAGAGGGAAAGAUACCCUCUUUAGGAGAGACUGGGAUGGCUUAAUGAAAACAUCAGAACCUACAACAGCAAAUCACGGUGCGCUCUUCAGAGCAGUUAUUCUGAGGCUGCACCCUUGUCCCAUCGAUGCAGGAACACUUGCCUUUAGAAUUGCUGUCAGAGUUAGUUUCUGCUUUUCAUGUUGCUUUGCUUCUGGUGAAAAAUGGGGUGAUCCAGGUUGAUCACUGACCUUAUUCACCAGUCUUUUCCUAAAAAAGAAAUUCUUGGGUAUUUGUAAGAAAAUCAAAUCUGUCUUCAGAGAGAAAGAGAGAGAGAGAGCGCUAAAUGCUCUCAUCCUUGAGGCUCACAAGAGACCUGUGUCCUAGGCUCUGGAGAAGGUCUUCACUGGCAUUUGGAGCUGCUCUGAGGAGGAGGGAGAGACUCCCAGCACCACAUGACCCACUUCCCAAGCUUCCCCCUUUGAAGGGAACAGCACUUGUUUAUAUGAUCCUGGUGUGUUGAUUAAACAAAACAGCCUUCCUCCUUUGCAGUCACACUUCCCCAAGUCCUCGAUCUCAUCUGGCCUGACUUCUCCUCGUGCUGAGAGUCUGCCCACCUAGGCCUUCUUCUUAGCUGCCGGCCCCAGGAACAUGGUCAGCUGAGAUGUUUGAACCCCUGUGGUAGCCUGGCUUUUAAAGGCCUCCCUCCUCUCCUGGCAAGGCAGACUUUGCUGUUACCCCAGAGUCAGGGGACUCAGAUGUGGGCUUCGUGGGAGGGGGAAUAAGUACCUGCCCGGCCCCUGCCUGCUAGGACUCGGGGGUUCUGAGAACAGAUGCAGUUGUACCAUUCACAGCUGUCAUGUAGGUUUAUACAAGGAGUCAGAAUAACUUCAAUUCCCAGGAGGGCUCCUUGGGCUUGACUUAGAAGAAUAUGUGACUUUCUGCAUUUCUUUUCUUGCCUUAAAAAAAAAAAAA